UACUGAACGACCCCUUAAACUCCUGGU
rnacentral:piRNA from 1 species